CUGUGUGCAUGCAGUCAAAAUCUGUGGAGAUUCUUAGGUGCUUCUGAAAUGAGAACUCUUCUAGGGAAUGGGUGCAUGAGGCACCUGCAGAAUCCCAGGGAUGGAACUACUGGGAGGAUUUUGAAUGGAGCAGGCUGAUUCUGAGACAGGAGACUGCCUUGCCUCAGCAAACUGGGAGGUUUUUCCCUCAGAAGUGGCACAUGAGCUCUGCCUCUGCUGUCCUGCACCUUCUGCCCUGUGUGACCAAGAUCCUGCUCUGCACCCCUGGGAGGGUUUAGUAUUUUUUGUUUACGUGGUGGUGAUUGACUAACCUCUGAGCUCCAGGCAAUACGAUCUAUCCCACAGGGGAUGCAGGAGGACUGAAGGAGCAGCUGCUUAGAGAUUCCUGGCAGAGAAUCUUGCCCUUGGCGCUCUGACUCAAGGCGCAUGAUCGUGUAACACACCCACUGGCGUGGAUGUUACGUGGUUUGUUUGCAAAUACUGGCAACCUCGGCUGAGAGAGAGAUUCCGAGUGCUCACAACCGUUCCAUUUGUGAAGAGUGUCACCUCUUCAGCGCCAGCAACAGAGCACUGGCACGGCCAGGAGGGAUUCAUUAUUGAUGCUGUGGUCAUGUAUCAGAAGCCCUCCUUGUGUACUGUAUUUCCUGGAGAUGAUUAGCCAAAAGCUGCUUAAGCUUACCUUUGUCAGGUUGAAUAUGUAUGAGCUGGACAGAGAAGUUCAUCUACUCUAACAGCCACUGAAAAGUGAUACACUUUCCUCCAAAAUGCCUGCAUUCCAGAAAUCCGAUACUUCUUAUCAGCUCGGUCAUCUUCUGACUUGGAAACAUUUGACUUCGGUCUUCUGGCUUUGGAUCUGAAAGCCUUGCCGAGCAAAGCCACGGUGACUGAAAGUGUGCUUUGGUGACUGUGUCACUUCCAGAUGGGACUGGGGUGCAGAACAGGCAGAAGGCUGCUGCUUCCUCCACCCAAAAGCAGAUUUGAGUGAAUCUGAGCACUUGGGAUCCAACCACAGUUGUCUCCAUCAGGAGGAAAAAUUACACGAGCACACAGGGAUGUCUUUUGCUCAGGUAGCAGAGAGAUGUUUCCUACUUCUCAGCUGUUUCUGAUGCCUCUACACACAAAUACCCUCAAACCUCUAUUUAUUGUUGGAGAGCAGUUGUGGUUUGACAGGCCUGUCAUCCUUUGAUUUUGAAAGCCUGAUCAAAAUCAGAGACACAGGCAGCUCAGGCUCCUCAGAUUUCAAGUUAUGUUCACGUGUGCUGAUAUUUUUUCCUCCACAAUCGGGGUUAUUUUUUUAUAAAAGGAAGUGGUAACAGGUUGACGAACAUUUGGCCUGUUGCUGUCUUGGGCUCAGGGACUUGGUGACAGCUCAUAGAAACCUUCAGCAAAACACAAGCCUGCAUUGCAGAGUACUUGGGAUCCCUCCUGGGGCAAAAAGGGUGACAAACUUCUCAUUCCCCAUCAGGUGAUCCCUUACUAGAGCCACAGUGGUAUCCAUACCUAGGCACGCUGAUCUUUCCUUUUUUUGUAUAAAGGGCAACAGAAAUUUCCCAGGCUGAGGAGCCUCCCACUGCAGCCUUGAAGUACGUUGACAAAUUCUGUGUAUUGCAGCCUGGUUUUAAAAGUGCUGAGAGGUCAGGACUCACAGAUUGCAUCACUCUUGGAAAACAGGCCUC